AUUGAACGCCGGCGGCAGGCUUAACUCAUGCAAGUCGAACGAGUGGCGGACGGGUGAGUAUUGCCUGGGAAACUGCCCGAUGGAGGGGGAUCACUACCGGAAACGGUAGCUAAUACCGCAUACCAUCGGAUGUGCCCAGAUGGGAUUAGCUCGUAGGUGGGGUAACGGCUCACCUAGGCGAGGAUCCCUAGCUGGUCUGCGAGGAUGACCAGCCGCACUGUAACGUAGAAACGGUCCAGGCUCCUACGGGAGGCAGCAGUGGAGAAUAUCGCACAAUGGGCGCAAGCCUGAUACAGCCAUACCACGUGUAUGAAGAAGGCCUUCGGGUUGGAAGGUACUUUCAGCGAGGAGGCGUUACUCGCAGAAGAAGCACCGGCUAACUCCGUGCCAGCAGCCGCGGUAAUUC
rnacentral:rRNA from 1 species